rnacentral:tRNA from 1 species
AUUUAAAUAGCUUAUAAAAUAGAGUAUAACAUUGAAGAUGUUGUGGAGGUUAAUUAAACCUUUAAAUA